rnacentral:lncRNA from 1 species
GCUGCGCACUUCGGUCUUUUACGUCGGCCUUCGCGAGCGUCUGGGCGGGUGGUAGGUGAGUGGGUAUUGCGGGCUAGUAUCCGAGCAAAAGAUGGUGGCGCAGGCCGAGUUAAGAGCUUUAAUCCUGUGAAGACAUCUUAGUGAAGAGUUUAGAGUGCUGAGAGUUGAAAGCUUGCACGUGGGAAACGUGCGGCCGGACUGCCACAUGUACUGAGGUUGAGUCGUGACGGCCACAGGCUCCGAGUUUUGGCGUGAGGAACCGCUGAUCGGCCACGGGCGCCGAACUUGCUGGCCUCCGGCAUGUGCCUGAGCGGCGGCGGAAAAACCACCUUAAUUGGGGCGGAGGGUUAGUUUUAACAGCAAAGGGCCUUUACUAAAAUGGCGAAGGCCUUCCGUCGGCGUUGUUUUAAAAUGGGAAGCCUCGACCCUGUAUUGAAACUGAGCUGUUCGAAGGCGGCGUUGUGUGCAAUUCGGAUUAAUGAAGGGGAAGGGUUUUGUGUGGAAAAACGCCUUGGAGUGUGACAUUUCUGCGAGAAUGCUUAAAUACCGAUUUCCCGCAGGAACAAUGGCGCUGUCUUCAGUGGCACAGUGGAGCAGCUCUGAAGAUGCAAAGGUAAGAGCUUAGUUAAGCUUAGUUUCCAAACUAAAGGAGUAAACCUGUUGAUUUACAGGAAUAGGAACUGUUGCAUCGUUUGAAAUUUACUUUUUUUUGUUAGAUACACGAAAAAACUUCCAGAACAUCUGGGAGAAUAUUUAAUGGAAAAUCGCUUGGUUAAAACCUGACACUUUUAACAGUGAACAGCGUUCUGAGUGUGGACGAGUAGCCAGUGAAGAUAAUGAAUGUCGAAUGUGACUGACUAGCAGCUUCAUUUUGAAUGAGGGUCGCUGUCUGCCCAUUGAUAGAGGCCAGAUUGUCUUGGAAGUUCCAAAGUUGCAACGAUUUCUGGCUAGUGCCACGAGGUUUACUUGACUGUUGUGUGAAAAGCUGAUAAGAAAACCAUCCAGAAAAAAGCUCUUCGUUUUACAAACAUGAAAAUAAAACAUGUAAUUUUGGAUUAUGUUCCUUUUUGUUAUUACUUUUAAAUAGGUCCUGAAAUAACAUGGGGAGCAUUAAAUGGAAAAUCCACUA